UACAGAGGGUGCGAGCGUUGUCCGGAAUCACUGGGCGUAAAGGGCGCGUAGGUGGCGGGCCAAGUCCAUGGUGAAAGCUCGAUGCUCAACAUCGAGUCGGCCACGGAUACUGGUUCGCUGGAGCACUGUAGAGGCAGAUGGAAUUCCGAGUGUAGAGGUGAAAUUCGUAGAUAUUCGGAAGAACACCAGUGGCGAAGGCGACUCACUGGACACAUAUUGACGCUGAGGUGCGAAAGCGUGGGGAGCAAACAGG
rnacentral:rRNA from 1 species